rnacentral:rRNA from 1 species
CGAACGCUGGCGGCGUGCUUAACACAUGCAAGUCGAACGGAAAGGCCCUGCUUUUGUGGGGUGCUCGAGUGGCGAACGGGUGAGUAACACGUGAGUAACCUGCCCUUGACUUUGGGAUAACUUCAGGAAACUGGGGCUAAUACCGGAUAGGAGCUCCUGCUGCAUGGUGGGGGUUGGAAAGUUUCGGCGGUUGGGGAUGGACUCGCGGCUUAUCAGCUUGUUGGUGGGGUAGUGGCUUACCAAGGCUUUGACGGGUAGCCGGCCUGAGAGGGUGACCGGCCACAUUGGGACUGAGAUACGGCCCAGACUCCUACGGGAGGCAGCAGUGGGGAAUAUUGCACAAUGGGCGGAAGCCUGAUGCAGCAACGCCGCGUGCGGGAUGACGGCCUUCGGGUUGUAAACCGCUUUCGCCUGUGACGAAGCGUGAGUGACGGGAAUGGGGAAAGAAGCACCGGCGAACUACGU